rnacentral:lncRNA from 1 species
AAAAAGAAAAACUAAAAGCUUUUGAGAUUUUAAUAUUUGUAGACCAUUAAUAAAUACUUUUCUAAAUUUCUAUGGUCAAAAUGUACUUUAAAUAACUUUUUAAUUCCCAUUACUAACCUAACACAAAACGCCAGAUGGUGGAAACAAACGGCAACCACCUGAAAACGUUAAGUUUGAGUUAGUUGGUCGUCAGCAUUAGCGCGUGGUCAUUUAGUCUUCGAGUCCCUUCAAAAAUCAGGUGAUGUCAUUUCAUCACGUCACGCCAUGACAUCAUAUCCUCCAACUGACAAUUUUAGCUUAUGAAAAGACUGAUAU